GAUGAACGCUGGCGGCGUGCAUAACACAUUCAAGUCGAACGGUGAAGUACCUUCGGGUACGGAUCAGUGGCGGACGGGUGAGUAACGCGUGAAUAACCUGCCUGUAUGUGGGGGAUAACAACCGGAAACAGUUGCUAAUACCGCAUAAUGUAUGGAGAUCGCAUGUUUUCCAUACCAAAGAUUUAUUGCAUACAGAUGGAUUCGCGUCCGAUUAGAUAGUUGGUGAGGUAACGGCCCACCAAGUCGACGAUCGGUAGCCGGACUGAGAGGUUGAACGGCCACAUUGGAACUGAGAAACGGUCCAGACUCCUACGGGAGGCAGCAGUGGGGAAUAUUGGGCAAUGGGCGAAAGCCUGACCCAGCGACGCCGCGUGAGGGAAGAAGGUCUUCGGAUUGUAAACCUUAGUCAACAGGGAAGAAGCAAGUGACGGUACCUGUGGAGGAAGCCACGGCUAACUACGUG
rnacentral:rRNA from 1 species